GCCGGAGCUCUCACCCAAAUCAGUCUCCUGCCACCUCUGCGGAGGGCUGGGCACCGGCCUCUCCCGUCACCACGCUGAUCACUCACACAAUCCCAGGAUUGUUAGGGCAGGAAGGGACGUCUGGAGCUCGUCCAGUCCAACUCCCCUGCCUUGGUGACAAAGGAACACGUCCAGGUGGGUUUUGAAAUGCCUCCAGUAUCAUCCGGAGGGAUUUUCUGCAAACAAGGCAGGUGGUAUUUGAUAAUGGAUAUAUAGUGGCUGCUGGGGAUAAAACAUGCUCCUCCCCGUGUCAAAGCCACAUGCCCUCCAGGCAAGGGGGUCGCUCCCAGUGUCACCACCCGAUGCAGGUUUGCAUCCCCACAGUAUAAUGGACAUAAACAUUUCCACAGGUAUGACAGGCAUGGAUCACAGGAGUCUGAGAUUAACACAUGCCCCAGAUCUCCUAACCAACAUCCAUCUGGCUGCCUCGGAGGCUGGUAGCCACCCCCCACACCCUGGGCAGCAGUACGUGUGCCACAGGCACAUUUGUAGGGAGGGAGGGUGCUCUGUAGAAGGUCUGCUUUGUCUUUUGUUGGAUCACCCCCUUGGGUUGCAGAUUUUUGGAGCCAUCGUGACCCAGAAAUCUACCUUCAAGAGAACAGGCAUUGCAAAUCAAGUUGGCCAACACAGCAGGAAGAUUCUCUGAGUCUCUACAACUCAAGAAGCGGCUCCUUUUGUGUAUGCCAACAUUGCAGCAAAUUUCUAAAAGCAUGAUUUUUUUCCAAUAGAAGCCAACUUCAGAACAAGAAUUUACACAGUAAGCCAAGCUUAAUAAAUUAAUUUCUUUUAAGACUUCAUCCCAUUUUUUCCCCCAACAAAUCUUUCAUUCACAAAGCCCAGGAGCACACUCCUUCAUUUAGGGAGGAGAGGAUGGGCGCCCUGCCAACCUGCGAGGUUCUGCACUGUCAUACACAAAGUCCUGCUUCCACUUUCAGAGAGACCUUCUCUCAAGCUUCAUCAAGUGGCUCCCUGCAGACCACACUGAGGACAGCAAACCCUUCUCAGCAGCCUGGCUGAGCAUCAGGUAAGACUCUAGGAGGACCCAGUUCAGCUGCUACCUCCCAGCCCUGUGCCCACACACAGCCAGCACUGCUCUCACCUCAUGCCCUGCACGGGCACAAAUAGGUACCACUUUGCCCAGAUUUCUGCAGUACAAAUUACUCAUUUCUGUCUAAGCACACCACAACUCCAAGUAAUCUCCUAAACUUGCUGCUCUGACUGAUGUUUUGGGUUGUUUGGGUUUUUUUCUUCAUGAAAACAUUUCCCCACUCAGAACAAAAAUCCAAACUCAAACAAUAAAAUCUGAGGUUUUCCCAGG